GACGAACGCUGGCGGCGCGCCUAACACAUGCAAGUCGAACGAGCGAGAGAGAGCUUGCUUUCUUGAGCGAGUGGCGAACGGGUGAGUAACGCGUGAGGAACCUGCCUCAAAGAGGGGGACAACAGUUGGAAACGACUGCUAAUACCGCAUAAGCCCACGGUGCCGCAUGGCACAGAGGGAAAAGGAGCAAUCCGCUUUGAGAUGGCCUCGCGUCCGAUUAGCUAGUUGGUGAGGUAACGGCCCACCAAGGCGACGAUCGGUAGCCGGACUGAGAGGUUGACCGGCCACAUUGGGACUGAGACACGGCCCAGACUCCUACGGGAGGCAGCAGUGGGGAAUAUUGCACAAUGGGGGAAACCCUGAUGCAGCGACGCGGCGUGGAGGAAGAAGGUCUUCGGAUUGUAAACUCCUGUUGUUGGGGAAGAUAAUGACGGUACCCAACAAGGAAGUGACGGCUAACUACGUG
rnacentral:rRNA from 1 species